UACGUAGGGAGCAAGCGUUUGUCCGGAAUCAUUGGGCGUAAAGCGCGCGUAGGUGGCUCUAUAAGUCCGUUGUGAAAGUCAAAGGCUCAACCUUUGAAAGCCGAUGGAUACUGUAGAGCUAGAGUCCGGAAGAGGCGAGUGGAAUUCCUGGUGUAGCGGUGGAAUGCGCAGAUAUCAGGAAGAACACCGGUGGCGAAGGCAGCUCUCUGGGCCUUACCUGACGCUGAGGAGCGAAAGCGUGGGUAGCGAACAGG
rnacentral:rRNA from 1 species